rnacentral:rRNA from 1 species
AUUGAACGCUGGCGGCAUGCCUAACACAUGCAAGUCGAACGGCAGCACGGCAGUAGCAAUACUGUGGGUGGCGAGUGGCGGACGGGUGAGGAAUACGUCGGAAUCUGCCCAGUCGUGGGGGAUAACUAGCCGAAAGGUUAGCUAAUACCGCAUACGACCGAGAGGUGAAAGCGGGGGACCGCAAGGCCUCGCGCGAUUGGAUGAGCCGACGUCGGAUUAGCUAGUUGAGGGUAAAGGCCACCAAGGCGACGAUCCGUAGCUGGUCUGAGAGGAUGAUCAGCCACACUGGAACUGAGACACGGUCCAGACUCCUACGGGAGGCAGCAGUGGGGAAUAUUGGACAAUGGGCGCAAGCCUGAUCCAGCAAUGCCGCGUGUGUGAAGAAGGCCUCGGUGUAAGUACGACUUAUUCUAGACGAAAGAACGUA